GACGAACGCUGGCGGCGUGCUUAACACAUGCAAGUCGAACCGAAAGGCCCUGCUUUUGUGGGGUGCUCGAGUGGCGAACGGGUGAGUAACACGUGAGUAACCUGCCCUUGACUUUGGGAUAACUUCAGGAAACUGGGGCUAAUACCGGAUAGGAGCUCCUGCUGCAUGGUGGGGGUUGGAAAGUUUCGGCGGUUGGGGAUGGACUCGCGGCUUAUCAGCUUGUUGGUGGGGUAGUGGCUUACCAGGGCUUUGACGGGUAGCCGGCCUGAGAGGGUGACCGCCCAUUUGGGGGGUGAGAUGCGCCCGACACCUCCGGGGGGGAGCGGAGGGGGAAAUUUCGCAAAGGGGGCGAGCGUGUGGCGGCAAAGCCGCGCGCGGGGGGAGGGGGCUUGGGUUUUGAACCCCUCUUUGCCGGGGCACAGCGUUUUGGGACGGUAAAUGGAGAAGAAGGCCCCGGUAACUACGUG
rnacentral:rRNA from 1 species